rnacentral:rRNA from 1 species
AGUGAAUAGAUACCCGGGUAGUCCUAGCCGUAAACGAUACUCGCUAGGUGUCGGCCACGGUGCGACCGUUGUCGGUGCCGUAGGGAAAGCCGUGAAGCGAGCCACCUGGGAAGUACGGCCGCAAGGCUGAAACUUAAAGGAAUUGGCGGGGGGAGGCACCACAACGGGUGGGAGCUUGUCGGUUUAAUUAGGAUUCAACGCCGGAAAUACUUACCGGGUACCGACAGCAACAUGAAGGCCAGGCUGAAGACUUUGUCCGGAUUAGCUGAGAGGUGGUGCAUGGCCGUCGUCAGUUCGUACUGUGAAGCAUCCUGUUAAGUCAGGCAACGAGCGAGACCCACGCCCACAGUUGCCAGCGUACUCUCCGGAGUGACGGGUACACUGUGGGGACCGGCCGCUGCUAAACGCGGAGGAAGGAAUGGGCAACGGUAGGUCAGUAUG